CUUGGUCAUUUAGAGGAAGUAAAAGUCGUAACAAGGUUUCCGUAGGUGAGCCUGCGGAAGGAUCAUUCACGAGUGGGGCCCAGUGCCUCUUUCUCACAUCCCAUCCUGUGUUGUUGACCCGGCGCGCGUGGGCCUUGCCGCCCAGCCGCCACCCUUUCCUGUGCAAACCCCAGACAAACAUUGACUGAACACACACACACACACACACGAGUGUUGAAAUUGAAAACAACUGUUGACAACGGAUCACUCGGCUCUCGUGUCGAUGAAGAGCGUAGCGAAUUGCGAAAACUAGUGCGAUUUGCAUCCAUCGUGAAUCAUCGAGUCCUUGAACGCAACUUGCACCGUAUGGGUCUUCUGUACGGUCUGCCUGUUUGAGUAUUGACAGACUCUUCUCACCCGUCGAUGCGGCGGGUGGACCUGGCCCGUCGUCCGCAAGGAUGGCGCGCUGAAAGGCAAUGGUGGGCAGCUCGAAUGAGGCUGCGCUUCCGCAUGACUAGGUCGUCCGCACGCUCCGUGUUCUCUGAUCUAGUCGGCAGCGCAUGCCGCUUUGACUGGCGCCAGCAGCAACGCUUGUCUAGCACACAUCUCUAUGCAAUCUCAAAUCAGGCAGGAUGACCCGCUGAACUUAAGCAUAUCAAUAAGCGGAGGA
rnacentral:rRNA from 1 species